rnacentral:rRNA from 1 species
AGAGUUUGAUCAUGGCUCAGAACGAACGCUGGCGGAGUUAAUACAUGCAAGUCGUGCGAGAAAGAGGUUUUCGGACCUUGAGUAGAGCGGCGAACGGGUGAGUAACACGUAAAUAACCUGGCCCUAAAUUUGGGAUAACCUUGCUAACGCGGGGCUAAUACCGGAUGUGGUUCCAUUGACUCAUGUUUUUGGAAUUAAAGAUGACCUCUACUUGUAAGUUAUUGUUUAGGGAUGGAUUUGCGGCCCAUUAGUUUGUUGGUGAGGUAACGGCUCACCAAGGCGAUGAUGGGUAGCCGACCUGAGAGGGUGAUCGGCCACAUUGGGACUGAGAUACGGCCCAGACUCCUACGGGAGGCAGCAGUAGGGAAUUUUGCGCAAUGGACGAAAGUCUGACGCAGCAACUCCGCGUGAGGGAUGAAUGUCUUCGGAUUGUAAACCUCUGUUGACAAGGAAGAAAUGGAUUGUAGCUAAUAUCUGCAGUUCUUGACGGUACUUGUCGAGGAAGCACCGGCUAACUACGUGCCAGCAGCCGCGGUAAUACGUAGGGUGCAAGCGUUGUUCGGAAUCACUGGGCGUAAAGAGAGCGUAGGCGGGAAGGUAAGUUAGGAGUUUAAUAUAUCGGCUCAACCGGUAUUCGGCUUUUAAUACUGCUUUUCUUGAAUAUGGGAGAGGAAGAUGGAAUUUCAGGUGUAGCGGUGGAAUGCGUAGAUAUCUGAAAGAACACCAGUUGCGAAGGCGGUCUUCUGGCCCAAUAUUGACGCUGAGGCUCGAAAGCUAGGGGAGCGAACAGGAUUAGAUACCCUAGUAGUCC